AUUGAACGCUGGCGGCAUGCUUUACACAUGCAAGUCGAACGGUAACAGGCCGCAAGGUGCUGACGAGUGGCGAACGGGUGCGUAAUGCAUCGGAACGUGCCCAGUCGUGGGGGAUAACUACUCGAAAGAGUAGCUAAUACCGCAUACGAUCUAUGGAUGAAAGCGGGGGACCGGAAGGCCUCGCGCGAUUGGAGCGGCCGAUGUCAGAUUAGGUAGUUGGUGGGGUAAAGGCUCACCAAGCCAACGAUCUGUAGCUGGUCUGAGAGGACGACCAGCCACACUGGGACUGAGACACGGCCCAGACUCCUACGGGAGGCAGCAGUGGGGAAUUUUGGACAAUGGGCGCAAGCCUGAUCCAGCAAUGCCGCGUGCAGGAAGGAGGCCUUCGGGUUGUAAACUGCUUUUGUACGGAACGAAACGGCCCUGGUUAAUACCCGGGGCUAAUGACGGUACCGUAAGAAUAAGCACCGGCUAACUACGUG
rnacentral:rRNA from 1 species